GAUGAAGAACGUAGCGAAAUGCGAUAAGUAAUGUGAAUUGCAGAAUUCAGUGAAUCAUCGAAUCUUUGAACGCACAUUGCGCCCGCCAGUAUUCUGGCGGGCAUGCCUGUUCGAGCGUCAUUUCAACCAUCAAGCCCCCGGGCUUGUGUUGGGGACCUGCGGCUGCCGCAGGCCCUGAAAAGCAGUGGCGGGCUCGCUGUCACACCGAGCGUAGUAGAUUUUAUCUCGCUCUGGGCGUGCUGCGGGUUCCGGCCGUUAAACCACCCUUUUAACCCAAGGUUGACCUCGGAUCAGGUAGGAAGACCCGCUGAACUUAAGCAUAUCAAAGCGGAGGA
rnacentral:misc_RNA from 1 species